rnacentral:lncRNA from 1 species
CACCAUGGCACGGGGACACCACCAUGGGACAGGGACACCACCAUGGCGGGGGGACACCACCAUGGCAUGGGGACACCACCAUGGCACGGGGACACCCACAAUGGCACGGGGACACCACCAUGGUGGCACGGGGACACCCACAAUGGCACGGGGACACCACCAUGGUGGCACAGGGACACCCUCAUUGUCCCCUGUCCCCACAGAAGCUGCCCCUGACCUCGUCCCACGGCGUGUCCCCUCCUCCGGCCGCCGCCCCGGAGCCCAACGGGAGCCUCAGCCCGGAGCCGCCCGAGGACGCCGACCCCGGCCGGAGCAGCUCCGCCGAUCCCGACGCCGACGCCGACGAGGCGCCCAACCCGUCCUUCCCCAACCCGCGGCGCCGCCUGCGGCUGCGGGACCUGGCCGAGCGCGUGGCGGGCGCGGCGCAGAACGAGCAGGAGCUCCACCAGCUCCUCAACGAGGCCCUGCUGGAGCGCGAGUCCAUCCAGGCGCUGAAGGGCAGGAGCACCUUCCGGCUGUCGCUGCGCUUCACCGACCCCGACAUGGAGGCGCGCUACUCGGUGGAGAAGGAGAAGCAGAGCGGCGCCGCCUUCGGCUGCUCCUGCGUCGUCCUCUUCUUCACCGCCCUGGUGGAGGCCAUCAUCGACCCUCGGUUGGUGACCAACUACGUGACCUUCGCGGUGGGCGAGGCGCUGCUGGUGGGACUCACGCUCUGCUCCUUGGCCGCCGUCUUCCCGCGGACGUUCCCCAAGAAGCUGGUGGCCUUCUCCACCUGGAUCGACCGGACGCGGUGGGCGCGCAACGCCUGGGCCAUGGCGGCCAUCGCCAUCGUCACCGCGGCCGACAUCGUGGACAUGCUGGCCUGCCGGCGCGACCGCUGGGUGGCCACCAACGGGACCUCGGGGCCACCUCGCGGCGGCGGCUGCGCCGAGCACCCCAAGUACUUCAGCUGCAUCGCCCUGCUGGCCCUGGUGGCCACCGUGCUGCUGGUGCAGGUCAGCCACAUGGUCAAGCUGACUCUCAUGGUGCUCAUCACCGCCGCCACCGGCGCCGUCAACUUCUCCGCCUGGGCGCCCAUCUUCGACCACUACGACCGGCGGCGCGGCCAGCACGGCUCGUAAGGGCAGCGGGGGGACCGGGAUGGAAUUCCGGCCUCCGGAUGAUUCCAUGGGGGACGGGGAUGGAAUUCCGGACUUUGGAUGAUCCCUCAGGGGAUGGGAAUGGAAUUCCGGCCUCUGGAUGGUCCCAUGGGGGAUGGGGAUGGAAUUCCGGCCUCCAGAUGGUCCCAUGGGGGACGGGGAUGGAAUUCCGGCCUCCGGAUGAUUCCAUGGGGGAUGGGGAUGGAAUUCCGGACUUUGGAUGGUCCCAUGGGGGACGGGGAUGGAAUUCUGGACUCUGGAUGGUCCCAUGGGGGACGGGGAUGGAAUUCCGGACUUUGGAUGAUCCCUCAGGGGAUGGGAAUGGAAUUCCGGACUUUGGAUGAUCCCAUGGGGGACGGGGAUGGAAUUCUGGACUCCGGAUGAUCCCAUGNNNNNNNNNNGGACGGGGAUGGAAUUCUGGACUCCGGAUGAUCCCAUGGGGGAUGGGAUGGAAUUCUGGCCUCUGGAUGGUCCCAUGGGGGACCGGGACGGAAUUCCGGCCUCCGGAUGGUCCCAUGGGGGACGGGGAUGGAAUUCCGGCCUUUGGAUGAUCCCUCAGGGGAUGGGAAUGGAAUUCCGGCCUCCAGAUGGUCCCAUGGGGGACGGGGAUGGAAUUCUGGACUCUGGAGGAUCCCACGAGGGACAGGACGGAAUUCCAACCUCUGGAUGAUCCCAUGGGGGACGGGAAUGGAAUUCCAGCCUCCGGAUGAU